AGGCUUACCACAUGCAAGUCGAGCGGGGAAGGGUAGCUUGCUACCUGACCUACCGGCGGACGGGUGAGUAAUGCUUAGGAAUCUGCCUAUUAGGGGGGGACAACAUUCCAAAAGGAAUGCUAAUACCGCAUACCCCCUACGGGGGAAAGCAGGGAAUCUUCGGACCUUGCGCUAAUAAAUGAGCCUAAGUCAAAUUACCUAGUUGGGGGGGUAAAGGCCUACCAAGGCGACAAUCUGUAGCGGGUCUGAAAGGAUGAUCCGCCACACUGGGACUGAAACACGGCCCAAACUCCUACGGGAGGCAGCAGUGGGGAAUAUUGGACAAUGGGCGAAAGCCUGAUCCAGCCAUGCCGCGUGUGUGAAGAAGGCCUUUUGGUUGUAAAGCACUUUAAGCGAGGAGGAGGCUACCGAGAUUAAUACUCUUGGAUAGGGAACGUUACUCGCAAAAUAAGCACCGGCUAACUCUGUG
rnacentral:rRNA from 1 species